AGCCCUACGGGGGGCAGCAGUGAGGAAUAUUGGUCAAUGGUCGGGAGACUGAACCAGCCAAGCCGCGUGAGGGAGGAAGGUACAGAGUAUCGUAAACCUCUUUUGUCAGGGAACAAAGGCGGGGACGUGUCCCCGGAUGAGUGUACCUGAAGAAAAAGCAUCGGCUAACUCCGUGCCAGCAGCCGCGGUAAUACGUAGGGUGCGAGCGUUAAUCGGAAUUACUGGGCGUAAAGGGUGUGCAGGCGGGUUUUCAAGGUGG
rnacentral:rRNA from 1 species